UUAAAUGCUCUGCGAGACCUUCAUCCAUUACCCAAGAUAAUUUUGGAAUACAGGCAGGUUCACAAGAUCAAGUCAACCUUUGUAGAUGGAUUACUAGCUUGCAUGAAAAAGGGCUCCAUUUCCUCUACAUGGAAUCAGACUGGAACUGUGACUGGAAGACUUUCAGCCAAGCAUCCUGUAAGUUGUUUAAACAACUGUCUUUGUUAAACGCCAUUUUCCUGCCUUGCUAUUGAAGUUUUUUCUCCAUAUGUGUUUGCCUGUGCACUUUCUGUUUCCAAGAGGGGACUUCAUACUGAUAUGUUGUGUUUUAUUCUGUUUAUUCUGAGAACAUAGCAGGAGAACAAGACAGAUGGGUUCUCUUCUCAUGAAGUGCUGAGUUAGCAAGAGGGGGGCUUCACACCCAGAAACCCAUGCACUCCAGUGUGCAGGCAAAAAGGACACCCGUACCCCAUCUUCCUUUUCAGAUUU
rnacentral:lncRNA from 1 species